rnacentral:rRNA from 1 species
UACGUAGGGUGCAAGCGUUAAUCGGAAUUACUGGGCGUAAAGCGUGCGCAGGCGGCUUUGCAAGACAGAUGUGAAAUCCCCGGGCUUAACCUGGGAACUGCACUUGUGACUGCAUCGCUAGAGUACGGCAGAGGGGGAUGGAAUUCCGCGUGUAGCAGUGAAAUGCGUAGAUAUGCGGAGGAACACCGAUGGCGAAGGCAAUCCCCUGGGCCUGUACUGACGCUCAUGCACGAAAGCGUGGGGAGCAAACAGG